AUAAUGAUACUCCCGUAUAGCCUUAGUCCGAGCGUGAUAAAACCGUCGCAGACAAUGGAUACGGCUGCAUGAGAACCAUGCAGGGGUUAGAUUCCCGUGA
rnacentral:ncRNA from 1 species